UGUCCGCGUGCAGGAUGACGGUCCUAUGGAUUGUAAACUGCUUUUGUACGAGAAGAAACAACAUUACGUGUAAUGUCUUGACGGUAUCGUAAGAAUAAGGAUCGGCUAACUCCGUGCCAGCAGCCGCGGUAAUACGGAGGAUCCAAGCGUUAUCCGGAAUCAUUGGGUUUAAAGGGUCCGUAGGCGGUUUAGUAAGUCAGUGGUGAAAGCCCAUCGCUCAACGGUGGAACGGCCAUUGAUACUGCUAGACUUGAAUUAUUAGGAAGUAACUAGAAUAUGUAUUGUAGCGGUGAAAUGCUUAGAGAUUACAUGGAAUACCAAUUGCGAAGGCAGGUUACUACUAAUUUAUUGACGCUGAUGGACGAAAGCGUGGGUAGCGAACAGGAUUAGAUACCCUGGUAGUCCACGCCGUAAACGAUGGAUACUAGCUGUUGGGGGCAACUUCAGUGGCUAAGCGAAAGUGAUAAG
rnacentral:rRNA from 1 species